UACGUAGGGUGCAAGCGUUGUCCGGAAUUAUUGGGCGUAAAGGGCUCGUAGGCGGCCAACUAAGUCCGACGUGAAAUCCCAAGGCUUAACCUUGGAACUGCGUCGGAUACUGGUUGGCUUGAAUUCGGGAGAGGGAUGCAGAAUUCCAGGUGUAGCGGUGAAAUGCGUAGAUAUCUGGAGGAAUACCGGUGGCGAAGGCGGCAGCCUGGACCGACAUUGACGCUGAUGAGCGAAAGCUAGGGGAGCAAACAGG
rnacentral:rRNA from 1 species